rnacentral:rRNA from 1 species
UACGUAGGGGGCGAGCGUUGUCCGGAUUUACUGGGCGUAAAGCGCACGUAGGCGGAUUGUUAAGUCAGGGGUGAAAUCCUGGAGCUCAACUCCAGAACUGCCUUUGAUACUGGCAAUCUAGAGUCCGGAAGAGGUGAGUGGAACUCCUAGUGUAGAGGUGGAAUUCGUAGAUAUUAGGAAGAACACCAGUGGCGAAGGCGGCUCACUGGUCCGGUACUGACGCUGAGGUGCGAAAGCGUGGGGAGCAAACAGG